CUGACAAAAAGACUAAGGCAAGGAUUUGGGUUUAAGAGAGGGCUUGGGAUGAGGAAUUUCCAGAUCUUCAACUCUUUGACCAGACAGAUGGAGCUUUUCAAGCCUAAAAUCCCUGGAAAAGUAGGGUACUAUGGCCAAUUGUGAAAUCAGGGAUAUUUCUCAGCCUUUGCAAGUGGGUUCUGUCGGGCAGGUGCAUGCUUUAUAUUCUAUUUAACUU